GACCAGCAUUUAGUCUCUUCAGUUAGAGACAACGGCGUAACGUUAACGGUGCUCCCAAGUCCACAAUGCUGUGUUGCUAUUUUGCGGGGUUGUUUUAAUGUUGUCCGCUUAAUGUUACUAACAUCCGGAGACGAACAAAAUCCAGGCCCUUACUCUGAUUCAGAUAAAUGUUCGCAGCGGGAACUAAUGAAACACAUUCUAAGAGAACAAAAGGAAACGAACAAAGCACUGAAACAACUGUCUUCAAAUGUCAAGCAUGUGGAGACAAUAGUUGCAGAUUUGCAAGGAAUAAUGACAGUUAUUGAGAAUGAAAGGGGAUUAUGGAAAGAAUGCGAAGACAGGAUAGUACACUGCGAGGAAUCUUGUAAAUCUACCAUGAUGCAAGUAGAAUUUCUGGCAUCGAAGGUCGAUGAUUUAGAAAAUAGAAGUAGGCGGAAUAACCUAGUAAUUUAUGGAUUAAGAGAGAGCUCUGAUGAAGAUGUUAAAACACUUGAAGAAGAAGUGCACGGUAUACUUAAGAAGACCCUAGGAAUAGAAAUUAACUCAAUAGAACGAGUUCACAGAAUUGGUACAAAGCAAAGCCAAAGGACACGCCCCGUUAUUAUCAGGCUAUUCAACUUCGCUCAGAAAAACAAAAUAUUAUCAAGCUGCUUCAAGGUGAAAAACACCCGGAUUUCAAUAUCCGAGGAUUUCUCAAAGAAAGUAUGCGACACACGUGCUAAAUUAUGGUGUUCUGCAGUAAGUGACAAGGCGAAAGGGGCAAAGGUAUCUCUGUCAUUUGAUAAACUAAAAAUAAAUGGCAACACCUUUAUAUGGAAUGAGUGUGAGGUCAGAAGAAUUGAACUAUCUAAACCGAAAACUUCUGCACACGCUGGCCCAGCAGCUUGCGAUGGCACGUGACAACAACGUACGAAAUCUAUCAGAGUGUUAUCACUGAAUGCGCGCAGCGUAGUCAAUAAGUCAAGCCUACUUGAAAGCAUAGUUGCAGCCCAUCAACCGCACGUUAUAGUCAUCAUGGAAACCUGGCUUCAGGAAAGCGUCCAGGAUUCCGAAGUGUUUCCACCUUCUUAUCGGCUCAUACGGAAAGACAGAGAAUCGCGGGGGGGGAGGUGUAGCUGUCGCAAUUAAAUCUAACAUAAAAUUCACAGUUUUAAACAGCAUACCUGACCAUGAAAGCGUAUGGUGUAACCUUACAUUUAAUGGAAAAAGCAUAUUUCUGGGUGGCGUAUACCGACCUCCGAAUGCGCCCCCUGAAUACCUAGACGUUAUGCAUGAUUACAUUGCACAACACACUUAUUCACGUUUCAAUAUUAUUAUCACGGGUGAUUUCAAUUUACCAGGAAUCAAUUGGUCUAAUCUUUCGCACAACAGCUCCGACGCAAAAAGUGCUGAAUCACUAUUGUUCAUGUCAUUUACCUUCUCUCUAGACCAGCUAGUUUCCGAACCGACUAGAAUAGCUGGUCCGUCAUGUUCUGUGCUUGAUCUGAUGUUCGUAAGCAGUCUAUUUCAAAAUAACACAUUAAAUGUUGAAAAUAGCAUUUCGGACCAUAAAACUAUUGUAUUCUCCUGUCCGAUUUUAGGAAACUGUGAACGCGUUAAGCCAUCGAUUGCUGUUAUCAGGGAUUACUCAAGAGCGGAUGACAAUGCUAUCUCAGAAUAUUUAAACGCCUGCUUUCUGCAGGUUUCAUUACUUCAUGACGUAAAUGAAUUAUGGUUACGUUUUAAGCAUAUUGUACACUUUUGUGAAGAAAACUACAUUCCCUCCAGAAAGAAAAGAGUGAACAGAGAACAUCCUUGGGUAUCGCGCGAAAUAAUACAUUUAAAACGAAAAAUUAAAAGGAAGCGCAGAAAGAAAACCACACGUGACCUUCAAGAUCUUGUACGCUUAUUACAAUAUAAGAUAAACAUAUGGCCAAGGAGCGUUUUUUCACUGUUACUCUGCCUUCUUACAUGACGAAUAAACCACAAAAAUCCUGGUGCUACCUAUCGAGGGAGUGGCACACCGUAUCGCAGAUUACUGCUUCAAACGAGACGUUUGUUCAGCCUGACGUCAUAGCAAGCAAAUUUAAUGAAUUUUUUCUAUCUGUAUUUAACAGAACUACAUUAUCAUUUCAAGAAUCCAAUGCCUGAAAUAGAUAUCGACCAACAAGGAAUUCUUUGACUCUUACAAAAACUGGAUGUAAAGAAACCCUGUGGCCUUGAUCUUAUAUCAGAUGCAUUUUUGCAAAAACAUGCAGUUUGGACGUCAAAAUACUUAUACGUAAUUUACAGGCGAUCUUUGGAAACUUCAGUGAUACCUGACGACUGGCGAAGGGCCAAAGUAAUACCUGUGCACAAAUCUGGCUCUAAACUCGACAGUUCAUCACUUGUGCAUGUGCAACACAUUGGCGGAGGCAAUACGAACUGCAUUUCUCACUAGCUGGACAAGUCGGAAUGGCAAUGCACCUUGGAGAACAAGACUCGAAUUGUGAAAGUCUGGUGGUUUCACAGAACUUUGUUUUAUGUCAAGAUGGGCUGACACCAUGUCACCUGAUGCUGUCACUCUCUGAUCGCUUUCAAGAUAUGGGCCCGCUCUUCAAGGCAAAGCGACGAGAACACGGAGUUCAAGAUAUGGUCCACGCGGCGCAUAAUGGUUUGACAUGGAUGGAUAAGGCACUAAAGAGCAGUAUCAGCUUAUAAUGAUCAGAACGUCAUCAGCACACCUGGCGCCGCCGUCUGCAGCAGUCCGUGUUGCUGCGACGCUGCUGUUUAUACCGGUCAUAUUAACUUCCAUAACACUUUUUUGUUCAAGUACCCUAAAGAGCCCAGGAGGCAUAGGGGUGGGGGAUGUUACGAUUGGCCAGCGGGGAUAGUGACCUUCUGGCUUCACUGCAAUGAAUCGCUUCGUGAAGCCAACAACACGCCCCCUUCGAAUAGCCCUUCGGAGCCAGUAAGGCUAGACACGUUUGGCGGACAGGAUUGUUAGCUGGUUCGCUGUCACCUUCAGGGACCAAUUGGAGCAAGAAAACUCCUGGAAAUGUUUGUUCUAUGGCAUUCCCCCAUGUACUCUGGUAAUAGUCACGGUCAUGACAGAUUCAGCAGCAAACUGCAGAGUCAGCUCAGGAACGACAUGCCAGCUUGAGUCAAGCGUGACAACACCUGUCUAUGAGGCCUCACUGGUUUUGGUGUGUUCAGUAAAACAAAAGUGCAAGAGAGUGUGUGAACCUUCGCCCUCAAAGGCGGGUACUUCGACGACUUUGGACGCUUUGAUUGGAUGAAGGUUGGAUGGCAGCUUUCCCUGGCCUAGGGAUCUAGUAAGGACAGAGAGUGUUUAAGCAGACAUUUUCGGCUGUUCAGUGUGCAUUUCAGUCAUGCUAGACUGAUCAGAUGUAAUGUUCUCCACCCUUCAUGUAGAUAUUGUAAAUAAAUCCCCUACUCCUCA